rnacentral:lncRNA from 10 species
CCAGGCCUGGGCCAGCAUUUAUAAGGAAGACCUCCCAGGAAAACCAGGCUUUAUGAGCAGCCGAUUCCUUCCUGUGUGGUUAUCUUCGACCUGCCCAUGCCUGCGCGCUGACUCUCACCUCUCCGACCUGCUCCAGCGGAAGGUUCUCUGCCCCGGGCAAAGCUAUUUGAGCAGGCCAAGAGUUGAAGAAAAAUACCAGACCAAACCAGCUCCUCCAGCAUGAAAGACAAAAGCAAGAAAAGCAAGGUGCAGGUGGGGCCUAUCCGAUCCUUUUUCUUAAUACUUGUCGGAAACCUCUAGUUUGUUGAGGCUACAUGUAGCAUGCUCUGAAUUUCUUACCCUGCUUCCAACACAUUAAAAAUGUGUAUUUAUUAAGUUAAAUACCAUCUAGGGCCACUAGAUGUCACUGCCUUCAAUCUGUUCCACAAACUGCCACUUGCUGGGAGCUGAGAAGCCGGCCAGACAUUUCAGUGCAGGAAGAGCCCUCGCGGCGACAACCGCGAAGAGGACUUCCCGCGAGUGCGUGGGGCUAGAAGCACUUCCAGUGAUUCUUUGCAAGGUUCAAAGUGAAAGUGAACAGACCAGUCAAAGGGAGCUCGCGUUCAGGUUCCUGUUAUUCGGACUAUGCUGGGCCGGGAAGGGCGCACGGAACGGGACCUAUGGCCUACAGACUCACCGCGCCCUCCGUCCCCGCCCACGCCUAGGGUACCAUCUGCCCGCCUGUGCUCUGCGCUGAGUGCCCAGCCAGCCGCAACCCCACAGAUGACCACGACGUUGACCUGCCUGUUUCCACUUUGCAGGAAAGGAGACAGAGUGAGGAGGCCAGCAACAGGCACAAGAGCUCCUUUUUGACGUGGGAUCAGGGAGGCCCCAGGUGGUGGCCGCAGAGGAGCUGUAUUCACCCUGCCUCCUAGUUGGGGCACCACACUAGUUCCAAAUGGGGGAAACUAGGGCAAGACUGGAGCUAAAGGAGCAGGGAAACCUUUGAAUCCAUAACGAAUGCUACACAACUUCCAGAGGCACAUGGCCCAACAGAAAAGCCUCAGAUGGAGUAACAUCUAAAAGGACUGAGUAUUUGGAAACGUGUUCCUUUGGGGCAAAGAUGACACCUCCUAGGUUGAUGCGUGAUUGGCAUCAGCCAGGGCCUGAAUUUAUGUUUCUUAUAAUGGUUUUAUAGUUCUUGAUUAAAUUGUGCAUUUUCUUUUUGCACUGUUCCGCAGUUUUAAUAUUCAUUCCCAUUGUAGCUGGACAUACUCAUCUGCAGUUCAGUUCACAACAGAAAUGAUAAUUUGUGUAGGAGGGAUGACAGCCCAAAAUAGCCCAUUUUCUAUAAUCCAGCUGUAGUUAGAAGGGGCAGAACACUCUAGGAUGCCUAGAAGAAAGAGGGUAACAAUAAAAUAGCAGGUUCUACUUUUUGUUUGUACCAGUGAGUUCAAGAGCACUUGUUACUGAGGGAGACUCUCCUGUGGCUGGGCUUGGAGGCCUGUCGAUUUCCUGUUUCUGAGCUCAGGCUUUUCUGAUGGGGAAAAGCCUGUCAGCAUCAUAUAGAGGACAGUAUGGCUAUUUCCCUUGUGAGUAAGCCUCUUUGCUAAGGGGAAAGUGGUCUUUUUCUUAUACUGGCCUAGCUAGAAAUAGAAUGCCCCUGGGUGAAUGAGAAUUCCUUCCACUAUGGGCACAUUUGGACAGAUUUCAUCUUUUCUGUUUCUACUUGAAAGAAUUCCCUGGAUGACAGGAUUCAAAGGUUUUCUCUAUAGCGAGUGUUUGGGCUGCAGCUAAGAUGGUACUAAGUGAACCAGUGCAGGGAGGAUCUCACAGUGCGAAGGCAGAUGUGAGCUAGGGCCUCGGCCUGGCGCAAGCUGCUGGAGUACUGUGCACUGGUGAGGUUCAGAAAAUUGGGGAGGUCUCAAUAUGGGAAAAGGCAGGCAAAAAGAGAAGUAUUGUCAACCAGAUCCUCAAAGUAAACCUGGAGUUUAUUCCUUCAGUAAACAUGGGACACUGACUAUAAGCCAGACAUUGCUGUAGGCUGAGGAGAUUAACAGUGAACAAAACAGACAAAAGUAAUCGGCUGGAGUAUGCCUUCUAGUAGGAAGAGACACAAAGUGAAUGAACGUAGUGAAUCAUAUAGCUGUGGAUUAGAUGAGACGGGCUAAGGGGAAAAUAAAGGAGGAAGGGGGAUGAAGAGUGUCAGGUGUGAUGGUCAGGGAGUCCCACUGAGAAGGUGACAUGUGUGCUCAUGCAUGGAGAGGACAGUGAGGAGGUGUAUGGCUGGAGAAGUGACCAGGGACAGUGCUGAGCUAGGUCAGAGGGUCCAGCCCAGAUCUUGGUGAGCUUGGAGGUCAUGCAAGCACUUCACCUGCCACCCAUGGGAGGUGGGUGGGUUUCUGCAAAGGAGUGCCAGGCUCUGACACCUGUUUUGAAAGGUUAAAGGGGCAAAGGCUGUACAGAGGCUGAGGAGGAGAAGGUUGUGACGAUCCAGGUGAGAGAUUGCGGUGGUCAAAUCUGAGCAGUAAUAGGCAGUACUGAGAAGUGGUCAGUUUCUGGAUACGUUUGGGUUGAAUGUGGCAUGAGACAUAGCCCUGUGCUGGACUGACCAGAACAGCUCAAGGCGGAAAGGGUGCUGGGGAGGUUAAAUAUUCAAGAACUCUGCCACCUGGUGGUUAAACCAUUGGUGACUUGAAAUCAGCCGUGGUGGGAGUAUUUACAUCAUGGAAAUGAGCAAACACUACAGAUUAGGGCUCUUGUCUUUUGUGAAGCGGGUUUCUCAGCAAAGCACGGGAUGUAAGAGAAGAGGAAAGGGUGACUCUGGGGCAGGG